UCCUUCUAAGAUAUCAUAAUUAUAUAGUUAAAAAUUGGAGAUUUGUAUUAUUCAGUGGAUAUAUCAAUAAAUAAUUUGGUUUUGAGCAUCUGUUCCAUUCCUUAUCGCUGUAGGAACCACUAACAUAAUUGUUCUCUAUUAACCUAUGCAUUGUGAGGGAACAGAUCACCAUCAUAGGGAAUGGAAGAUAAAAAAUGUUUACUAACCAAAAAAUAAUAUGAAUAAUAAUCAUAUGUAUAAUCACAGAUUAUUUAAUUCCUCAAACCAUAAAUUCACUAUUCACAGACAAGGGUAGUGUGCAGACAUCGUUAUUGAUAUCAGUUGAUGAAAUGCAUUAUGUACUUUGUUUGCUUUGUCAGUUGUGCCCCUUUGUCUCUAUCUACACAUAGGAACCAGAACAUACAAAUCCUCAUGCAAAUACAGUUUUCAUAAAGGCAUUUUUUUCAUGCUUGGAGCUGUAUGCCUCAUAGACAUAUGCAUGUCCUUCUUGUUGUGCUACAAUUUCUUUCUUCACAGCAAUACAUUCCAAGAUACAUGGCAUGAAGGUAAUGGGUGUUCCCAUUCAUCCCUCUUUCCUUAGCUAGGUGAUGAUUGAUGAUAAGCACUAUCACAACUCUUGUUGCAUUCUUUGAAUCUUCACUCUUGUUCUAACUCUGACAGGAAAUUCUUAAUUCUUUAAGCCAUUUAAGCUCCUAAAAUAUAUUUUAUUAAACAAGAACUGCUACUCUGAGCAUCUGGUCUUUGUCAGGGACUAAGCUGGGUGAUGGAGGGAAAGAGUAUGGACUGAUCAGGUGGUCAAGUUUCUUUGUACAAUGAGUCAAAGAAAAAUAACCAUAUGCAUAGAUUAUGCCUAAAAUAUUACUUUAAAAAAUUGUUACACAUGUAUGUCCCUCUAAGCAUUUUCUAUAUAAUAUAAAAUCAGUAACCAUCAUGUUGUGAGAGAAAUGCCUUGUUUGAGGAAGAUACUGUAUGUUAUUUUCUGGGUCCUAAAGAAGUUGACAUUAACUAAUUAAGGUUUGAAACAGGGAGAUUUUAGGUCUUCAGUGUGCAUCUAAGCCAUAUCAUAUUUCUAGUUUGGAAAGAGAAGGUACUCAAAUUCAGCACUUUUUCUUUUGUAUGCAAGCAUGUACCUGUUUCAUUGGAAACCUCAUUUUCUGGGCACUGAACACAAUCAAAGCAGCAGUCUGCUGUUUCUUUCUGAUGAAUUUUCCUGAAUCCAGGAGUACAUGUCACACUGCACAUGGAGGAGGGUACCUGAGGCAAUGCAUAAAUAUUAUAUAUAUUAUGUGUGUGAAUGUGUUUGUGUAAUUCAUGUAUACAUCUUAUGAAUAAUGAACCAUAGAUUGAUAUAUGGGACAUUAAUAGAUAUGGCUAUACAUAGUCCUCUGAUAACCAGUAAAUCUUAGAAAUUCCAGCCAGAUUAUUAUUUGUAUUACCCUUUAAUGCACUGAAUGUCACACAAUAUUUACUACAUCAUGUAAUAUUAUAUAUGUAACAUUCGGGUUGUAGCAAUUUAAAAUUUUUCCUUAUUAAAUUGAUUAAUCUUCAAGGAAUAUUUAUGUGGCAUCAGUGUUUCUCUCAUGAUUUGUAACUUUAAAAAAAAUGAACUGAGUUGUAUGGAAAAAGAAGGUAGGGUAAGUCAAGGAAGAGUUGUUUGAUGAAUAUGACCAAAAUAUGUUAUAUAAUACUCUCAUAAAAUUAAUGAAGUUUUCCUAAGUGUAAAAGAAAACCUUGAACCUCCAUCCCUUCCCCUAUUUCCCCUGAUUCUAUGAGGGAGCUCCCAUAUCCCACCCACUCCUGUUCCACCACCACUAGCAUUCCUCUAUGCUGGGACAUCAAGCCUUCAGAGGACAAGGGGACUCCCCUCCCACUGAUGCCAGAUAAGGCAAUCUUCCACAAAAGAGGGAAAACCAGGAAGUGGAAUAAUAUUUGAAAUGUAAAUAAAUAAAAAAUAAAAAAUUUAUAAAUUAAACAAGUGAAAACCUUGAAUCUGGAGAAAGAUUUAUGUUAAUGAAUACAUGCUAAUUUUAAUCAAGCUAUAAAUAUGUUCACACAAUCAGAAAAUUCCAUGCUUUAUAUGUAGUUAAAAUUUUUAAUUAUAUGUACAUAUACAUUAUACUAUAAAUUUCAUAAAUAUUUUACUGUAUUGUGGAUGAAUAGGCAUGUGGGUGCUAUUGAACAUGGAAUCCAGAGGCCUUUGAUGCAUUUAUGACCAGAUUUCAUGAAGUUGAGAGUUAUCAAAUUUUGGUGAUUGUAACAUUUGUGGAUGGUCUUUUGCAAGAGUAGCAAUUGAUCUUAACCACAAAGCUCUUACUUCAGUGCCUGAUAUUUUAAAUUUUAGAUAUCCU
rnacentral:lncRNA from 1 species